UUCAAUAGAAUUCGUUCUCCUCGAAUCGUCACCAAACAAAUUCCAUCGAACUUCACUAGACUUCUCUAAUCUCUUCGCAGUUUUUGCUCUAAUGGCGGAUGAUGACUAUGGUAAGUCUUCAAGCGAUGUCGAGGAGUACUCUAGUGAAGAGGACGACGCUGUGCAGGAGAGCAUCCUCGAUAGACUUGAAGAAAAGCCCCAGGAGGACGAGAAGCG
rnacentral:lncRNA from 1 species